ensembl:snRNA U6 U6 spliceosomal RNA
GUACUCAGUUUGGCAGUACAUAUGCUAAAAUUAAAGCAAUAAAGAGAAGAUUAGUAUGACCCCUGCAUAAAGAUGACAGAUUUGUGUAGUAUUCCAUAUGAAC